rnacentral:misc_RNA from 1 species
GAGGUGAUUUUGAUAAAAGAUUUUGAUAAAAUUUUGAUAACCAUUCGAAAGCUAAUAAUAAAAACGGGAACCAAGUGGCUCCCGUUCUUUACU